rnacentral:rRNA from 1 species
AUUGAACGCUGGCGGCAGGCCUAACACAUGCAAGUCGAACGAGUGGCGGACGGGUGAGUAAUGUCUGGGAAACUGCCUGAUGGAGGGGGAUAACUACUGGAAACGGUAGCUAAUACCGCAUACCAUCGGAUGUGCCCAGAUGGGAUUAGCUAGUAGGUGGGGUAAAGGCUCACCUAGGCGACGAUCCCUAGCUGGGCUGAGAGGAUGACCAGGCAAAUUGGAACUGAGAAACGGUACAGAAGAAUAAGGGAGGGAGCAGUGGGGAAGAUGGCAAAAGGGGCGGAAGCCGGAUGCAGCCAUGACGCGUGUAUGAAGAAGGCCUUCGGGUUGUAAAGUACUUUCAGCGGGGAGGAGUUACCCGCAGAAGAAGCACCGGCUAACUCCGUGCCAGCAGCCGCGGUAAUAU